GUUUCAAACUCUGGAUGUGAGCAGUUUAUUUCUGAAUCCAAGGAGAAGAGGGAGCAUGCCAGCAGGGUCUUGAUGUGCCACAAAGGGGUGCUCUGGGACGGCACCCUGCUAUUGGGAGCUACACCAACCCCUGCAUGCUAGUUCUGCGCACAGUAGUGCCGCUGAAUGCAAAGCGGGAGUUUCAUCUUGUCUUUGCUUGGACUGUUUCACCCUCCUCUGAAUUGCUGCCCCCUCUUUGAGAGGUGGUUGCUUAUCAUGCCUGUAGACUUCUGUUCUUCUAGGGACCCCAGCGAUAGGAAGUGGGGAAAUCAUGCCAUGAACUGUUUCUCCCUUGGGUCCUGCUGGCCAGAGGUCAGCUGGAUAGGGGAGCUUUCUGCCCCUUCCGGUCCCAUUGCUGGAGAGGGAGAUGCAGAGCCUGUGUAGGGUAUGGGACCCUGACAGGAGUCUGCUCUGCCCGUGUCCUCUUUCCCCUUGCGUACUCACCGGCAGCAUUGUGCUGAUGGUACAUGAUGAGCUCCGGGAUGGUGUUGAAGAGGUGCUUUUCUGCCAGGUAAUACUGAUUCUGGGGCGUGGAGCACACCACGUAAUGGCGGAUCACUCCUUGCAGGUCCCUGCAGAAUUGAUCACACUCCGAACUCCAGUCACAUAUGGAAAUCUC